UACGUAGGGUGCGAGCGUUAAUCGGAAUUACUGGGCGUAAAGCGUGCGCAGGCGGUUCGUUAAGUCAGCUGUGAAAGCCCCGGGCUCAACCUGGGAAUUGCGGUUGAAACUGGCGAACUAGAAUCUGGCAGAGGGGGGUGGAAUUCCACGUGUAGCAGUGAAAUGCGUAGAGAUGUGGAGGAACACCGAUGGCGAAGGCAGCCCCCUGGGUCAAGAUUGACGCUCAUGCACGAAAGCGUGGGGAGCAAACAGG
rnacentral:rRNA from 1 species